ensembl:lncRNA
CAGUGCUCUCUGGGAGAAGGCUUUUGAGUUUGGAUUCAGUUUAAGGCACUGACUUCUCGGCCUGAGGUACUUCUUAACUCUCCUCUGUGUCAGACAUGACACACUAGAGUCACUGCUGCAGCAAUAGCAGAGUGCUUGACAGCCUUCGGUCCUAAAGGGUGAAGGAAGCAUGCUCUAGCAGAGGGAGAAGUUGUACUGCAAUGCCAUCACAACACAGGCUUCAGACACUCCUACAGCCAGCUCUGGGUCUCUGAAGGUCCUCAGAGUUGUCUUGAUCUCAGGCCCAGGGGCUAGGGCCACCCCAGCCAAGAGGGACCAGUUAAUGGAGAAAACUUAAUCUUGGUACUUCAGCAUGCUCCAAGCUCAUCAUGUAUUUCCUGCUUUGGCCCUACAAUCAGCACUUUCCUCCUGGGACCCCUGGUUCCUUGGAUUGGAGAAGAGUACCAGAAACCAAGUUCUGGGCAUGAGGCAUGCUUGGGUAGGAUAACAGCACAUACCAGAGCUGAGUCAGGAGCAUUCUCUGAAAGCUGCUGCCAAGCCCCUGCAUCCCUGGACUGAGCGAGCAGGUUGGCACUGCCAUCUGGAACCUCUCUUCUACCUAGACAGCAAGCACAGAAGUGGAACUUUUGGGGAUUCAGUGGAGCUCAACCUCAUAAGCACAGCUCCUAUAAGAUCAGGGAGUCAUGGACGGGUUGCCAUGGACCAUGCCUUUCUACCCAAGACUGUGUAUCCAAGAGUGCCACUUCAAACCAAGGUGUCCCAGGACCUAGUGGCUCUGAGUCUCCUCAGGCUCAAGGCAUGCAAUGCUGAUUUAUCUUCCAUUAAGAG